GUAGGUGAACCUGCGGAAGGAUCAUUAAUGAAUUCUGAGUAGGCUCUGCCUCUCACCCUUCAUAUCCAUAAACACCUGUGCACAGUCGGACCCUUGAGUCUUUCGGGACUCCCGGUGUCUUGACGAUCUUAUCAAACAACAAUGUAACCAAUGUAAUCAUUAUUAUAACAUAAUAAAACUUUUAACAACGGAUCUCUUGGCUCUCGCAUCGAUGAAGAACGCAGCAUCUGACUGACUGAACUGUAUCUCA
rnacentral:misc_RNA from 1 species